rnacentral:rRNA from 1 species
UGGGGAAUAUUGCGCAAUGGGGGAAACCCUGACGCAGCAACGCCGCGUGAAUGAUGAAUGCCUUCGGGUUGUAAAGUUCUGUCUUCUGGGACGAUAAUGACGGUACCAGAGGAGGAAGCCACGGCUAACUACGUGCCAGCAGCCGCGGUAAUACGUAGGUGGCAAGCGUUGUCCGGAUUUACUGGGCGUAAAGGAUGCGUAGGCGGACAUUUAAGUCAGAUGUGAAAUACCCGAGCUUAACUUGGGUGCUGCAUUUGAAACUGGGUGUCUAGAGUGCAGGAGAGGUAAGUGGAAUUCCUAGUGUUGCGGUGAAAUGCGUAGAGAUUAGGAAGAACACCAGUGGCGAAGGCGACUUACUGGACUGUAACUGACGCUGAGGCAUGAAAGCGUGGGGAGCAAACAG